GAAACAUGCAAACUCUCUGCUGGGAAUGGUUAACGCCCAGGUUAUGUUUGGGAGAGUGCUCACUGCCUUGGGCCAAAACUUUGCCAGGGAACUGGCUCAUACUUCAUUGGUACAUGUAGCUCACUCCCUGUGUUUAACCUUAACCCUCCCUUUCCAAAAUUCACUUAGAGAGAUGUUGAGUGUGUGUUCAGGCUGCUGACAGGGUGCUGUGAGGGCUGAUGGCCCCUUGUGGUCCACGGGGAUUUCCUAGGGCGUCCAGGCAGAGGGAAUGGCAUCCAGGGCCCUUCCCAACACCCCAUCCAGGAUCAGGGCAGCCAGAGGCACUAGGACAGCCCCAGAUGCAGGCACCAGGCACCUCCCUGGUGCCAGGCCUGGGCCAGGCCAGGACAUGGGCUCAGAGGUGGGCCUGGCUCAGCAGGGGCCUCGGCUGGGCAGGACAGGGCCGUGGGGAGCUGGAGAUGGGCCCUGCCGUGGCCUUGCUGAAGCAGAAAUAGACCUGUUCCAGAUGGUUUUAGCCAGUAUUAAAUGCUUUGCAAGAACCUUCAAGAAGCAUCAUAGAGGAGAACUAUUGAAUUAGUUCCCCUUCAGCAUGAACUUACCUUUUUCUGGAAGGGACAAAGGAAGAAAGACAAACAUCUUCAAAUCAAAAAAUAAAC